UUAGGUUAGUAGAAUCCUUAACAAUGGUCAGUGAUUAGCAAGGGUUUUUACAUAUUUAAUGAUGCAGUUACUGAUAAUGAUAAGUUGUUCCCAAUGCACUUCAAGAGCUGAAGUGAUUACCUGAUUCUAAAGUUGUGUUCCUGGUGAAUACAGAGAGAAUGCAGUGGACAUAAGCGGGCAUGACAAAACUCAACAAUCAGCCAUUUUUUGUGGCUAUUGAAAAUACUGCACCCAGAGGACUCAAAGAGUUGCAUAAUAGUUUUAGGUUGGAAGAGAUAUCUACAAAUAUCUAAUAGAGCCUCCUGCUCAAAGCAAAGCCAGCUUCAAAGUCCCAUUGUGUUGCUCAGAAACUUGUCUAGUAAAGCUCUGAAAAUCAUGAGUGUUCAGAUUUCACAAUCCCUCUGGGCUCCGCUCCAGUACUUAACCAAUCUCAUGGUGGACUUUUACAAUUUUAUUUUUUUAUUAUUAUACAUUGCAGUUUCCCCUGUUGCAUCGUGUGAUGUGCCAGACUUCCAUCAUGGGUUGUCUGGCUCUGCAGAUUCACAUCCACCAGGACUCCAAGUCCUUUUCUGCAAAGCUGUUUUCCAGCCAGUCCUACCACAUGCUGCUACAAGGGUUAUUCCAUCUUACACAAAGAAAUGUAUUCACCUCUUGCGAACUUUCUGAAGUUCCUGUUGACCUGUUUCUGCUUCUUGUCGAUGUCACUCUGAAAGGUGGUUCUUCGCACUGGUCAUAUUUGCUCACAGGAUUCACCUGUGACCUUGCUGAAGUAUGUUCUAGUCCCUUAUUUAGGCUGAUGAAAACAUUAAACCACAUCCCAGAAACAACUGUUGAAGAAUAUUACUCGUAACGGGCCACCUGUUAGGCAUUGAACCACUACCACUUGUCUUUGAGGCUGUUGAUAACAUCAGUUUCUUGGCCAUCAUAUGUUCACACUUGCAGCCUGUACUUCCUCAGCUUGGCUACAGAAAUCCCAAGUGAAACCACUAAAGCCAAGGUACAUAACAUUCACUGCUCUUGACUUGUUGAUAUAAGCAGUCAUUACAACACAGAAAGCAGUUACGCUGAUCAGGUACAGUUUUCCCUUGUUCAAUCCACACUAGUUGCUCCCAAUCAGCUUGACCAUCACCAAUGUGGAAAUGGCUCCUCUAAGCACUUCCUCCAUAAUAUUUCAUUGGAGAGAGGUGAGGCCAAUUGGCCUGUAGUCCUUCUUGCCUUCACUGAAGAUGGGAGGAACAUUUACCUUUCCUGCAGUCAUAGUGUCCUGUGGUUUGACUUCAAAGUUUUUUUCUCUUCAGCUCUGAAGAUCUUGAACAUUGGUUUCUUACUCCUCAGUGUGCGCUCCCUCCCCUUGUAAAUUGCAGCCUUAAGCAAAGUGAUACCUCCUUUCCACCUCACCCUCAUUUUUUUUCUCCUCAAUACGCUAUUGUCUGUCACCUAUUAAUGUCUUUCCAUUUCUAAAGAUGACCUUGUCCUCCCACUGACAAAUUGCCUUCUGCACUCCAUUUUUAUCAGGAACAAAGCUGUAGAAUGUAGCGUUUUCUGCAUGGUACAAGACAAAAACCAGGGAAUAUGUGGAAUAUUGGGAAGGAACAGUCACUGCACUGGCUAUUCCUUAAGAGCCAUGGUAACCUAGCUAAACUGAUUGCUUCCUACUAUGCCUAUGACGAAAGCCUAACACAUAAAAGACAAAAAGACAACUCCUACCCUAAAAUAUGAGGGUUGCUCUGAAAGUAAUGCCUCUUAUUUUAUGAUGUUGGAUCACAACAUCAGAGGUGAAUGUUGGAGAUAUGGCAGUAGGGGUUGAAACUUUUCACCAAUAUGCUGUUACAUGUUGUUGUGGUACAACAGAUGGCAGCAGAGUGGCAAUCUGGCCAAAUGGCAUCUGACACAGAAGUGUGUCUGAAGCAAAGGUGUGCUAUUGAAUUCCUCUGUGCAUUGCUCCCAUUGACAUUCAUUGAUGCUUGCUGAACGUUUAUGGAGACCAAACAGUGGAUGCCAGUGCAGUGAAAGUUGGACUGUGUGGGCAACAUUUUCCUAGCAACGACACUGCCAGAGCAGCUGUGAAACAGGGGGCCACUUCUGCUGUACUCCUUACCAGAUCUAUAAAACAUAUUCCCAUAUUGAAAUGUUACACAAGUCCGUCUAAGGUUCUUUACUGCAUGCUUUUAUUAUCACCUAAUCAUCUAUGAGUCCUAUAGUAUCAGGAAAAUGAACACCACAUUGACACACAUUUCAGGUUCUAAUAAUUUUUUUCUUCAGCUUCCAAUAAUUCUAUUUCUCCAAAGAGAAAUAAAAAUGUCCCCUACCUUUUUCCAAUGGUUAUACUCUGCUAAUGUGUUGAGUAUUUAUAAAAGUUCUUCAUUUCUCAUUAGUACUAGUAGAAAAAAAAUUCGAAGCUGUUUGAAUGGAAAAUGUUAAAACUGUAUGAGUAAAGAAAAAUAUAGUGACUUGGAAUGUUUCUUUAGAGAUAUGUAUCCUACUGCCUUUUUAGAAGCUUGAUUCCUUAAAAAUCCUUUGAUCCUGCUCUUUUACUGCUAAUUAAGUAAUAACACUACCAGCUAUCCACAGGUUUUGUUUUGCUGGAAAGCUCAGUUUCAGACACACAGAAUGUAAUUAAGAAACUUUACAUAAUCUCUAUGGACAGGAAAAAAGCACAGAUUGGUAUUUCAAACAUUUCCCUCCUAAGACCACAGUUUUUAAUGGACAGUAGCAGGAUUCUGAAAGAAUGCCUUUCUACAUUUUAAAGACUUGUGAGACAGUUCAGUGGGACUCUGAGUAACACUGGAAAGCUGCUCAUGUAGGAUGUGUGUCUGGACCUACCUGGGCAUACUUUAAAGAAAAGAUGGGCAUAUGGGAAUAUGGUCCAUCUGCAAUCUGCAGGAUUUAAACCUUUAUUUCUUUCAAAGAACACAACACAGAAAAUGAUAAUUUAAACUCUUCAUCAAUGCCAGCUAAUGGCAAUGCCUCAACAGAAAGGUAAAACUAAAUCAGGACUGCAGGAUUAGGCUUCUACCAUCUCAUCUUCUCUCAAAGUGUUCCUGCUGUGGGAGAGGAUUAAGAAGUUUUAAAACAGUAGUAUAAUGUAAUCAAUGUACUUAAGUACAAACAUAUCAGAAAUAUAGCAUACUUUCUCCUCUUUUUCCAUGAAUUCUUUGUAGAGAACUAGGAACAAUCUGAUUUCAGGCAACUUAGUAUCUUUUUCCCCAAGUGAUAGCUGCUACAGGGUCCAAUUAACAGCACCUGGACUGGAGAGGGGAAAAAAAAAAAACACAACAAAAACACACCAAAACACUCACCGGUACAGAGAGAGGCCCAAUGGGCUAAAAAAUGCUGAAAACUGUGUGUUACAGUGGAUGCCAGACUAAACAGGAGCCAGCAUCAUGCUUUCC
ensembl:lncRNA